AUUUUUGCUUGUUUUGCUCUUGGGGCUAACAAUGCCUUCAAUAAAAUGAGAUUAAAAAAGUAGAGUGAAACAACACUCUAAACCAGAUUCGAGUGAGAAGAACUUGAAGGAGAGAUUUCCUCAGCAUCAAUCUUUAAAGCAGCUGAAAGGCCAGAAAUAAAUGGUGACUGAAGUCACUCAUCAGUCUAUGAGGGACAGAGAUAAGGAUUAUGGAAUUUCUGCAUCCUCCUCCAACACUGUAUUUCAACACCUACCUUUUUACUGGUCUACAUGAGUUCCACCUCCCUCUGCACUGGCUGAAUGUGGCAGCUCAGGAAACGUUUGUAUUAGAACUAAGUGGAUCCCAGCAAUGGUUUGAGGGUCAAAGUGACAGAGAUAUAAAACAGAGUAAGCCCUUGCAACCCUUAUGGGAAAUGUACCCCUAUGGGAACCCGGUGUUCUUCAGAACAUCUUUUGGCAUGACCUCCAUUAGGACCUUGGGACUGAGCAAAAGUGUCUGUGAGUUGGGGCUCACAGUCCCAAGCAUUUGCCGUGGAAGAUAAAAGAGUUCACCCUGCGUCAGCCACUGCUCAUAUGUGAGUCCUUGGCCAAUGGUGAGUCUGAAGUACUGCAAUUUAUCCUAAACUUUUAUGACUUCAAGUUAUCUCUGUCAGCCUGGGUCUGAAGACAGGGACAAUGGCCUUCUCAAAUAUUCUCCAGAAGGAGCAACUUUAGGCUGUAACUGGACCUAGAGAGACUGAUAUGGUAGC
rnacentral:lncRNA from 1 species